AGAGUUUGAUCCUGGCUCAGGAUAAACGCUGGCGGCGCACAUAAGACAUGCAAGUCGAACGGACUUAACUCAUUCUUUUAGAUUGAGAGCGGUUAGUGGCGGACUGGUGAGUAACACGUAAGCAACCUGCCUAUCAGAGGGGAAUAACAGUGAGAAAUCAUUGCUAAUACCGCAUAAGCUAGUAGCAUCGCAUGAUGUAGCUAGAAAAGGAGCAAUCCGCUGAUAGAUGGGCUUGCGUCUGAUUAGCUAGUUGGUGGGGUAACGGCCUACCAAGGCGACGAUCAGUAGCCGGACUGAGAGGUUGAACGGCCACAUUGGGACUGAGAUACGGCCCAGACUCCUACGGGAGGCAGCAGUCGGGAAUAUUGCGCAAUGGAGGAAACUCUGACGCAGUGACGCCGCGUAUAGGAAGAAGGUUUUCGGAUUGUAAACUAUUGUCGUGAGGGAAGAAAUUGACAGUACCUCAGGAGGAAGCUCCGGCUAACUAUGUGCCAGCAGCCGCGGUAAUACAUAGGGAGCAAGCGUUAUCCGGAUUUAUUGGGUGUAAAGGGUGCGUAGACGGGAAAUUAAGUUAGUUGUGAAAUCCCUUGGCUUAACUGAGGAACUGCAACUAAAACUGGUUUUCUUGAGUACUGGAGAGGAAAGUGGAAUUCCUAGUGUAGCGGUGAAAUGCGUAGAUAUUCGGAGGAACACCAGUGGCGAAGGCGGCUUACUGGGCUCUAACUGACGCUGAGGCUCGAAAGUGUGGGGAGCAAACAGGAUUAGAUACCCUGGUAGUCCACACUGUAAACGAUGAUAGCUAGGUGUGGGGGGUCUGACCCCUUCCGUGCCGGAGUUAACGCAAUAAGCUAUCCACCUGGGGAGUACGACCGCAAGGUUGAAACUCAAAGGAAUUGACGGGGGCCCGCACAAGCAGUGGAUUAUGUGGUUUAAUUCGAAGCAACGCGAAGAACCUUACCAGGUCUUGACAUCCAACUAACGAGAUAGAGAUAUGUUAGGUGCCCUUCGGGGAAAGUUGAGACAGGUGGUGCAUGGUUGUCGUCAGCUCGUGUCGUGAGAUGUUGGGUUAAGUCCCGCAACGAGCGCAACCCCUGCCAUUAGUUGCUACGCAAGAGCACUCUAAUGGGACCGCUACCGACAAGGUGGAGGAAGGUGGGGACGACGUCAAAUCAUCAUGCCCCUUAUGACCUGGGCUACACACGUAAUACAAUGGCCGUUAACAGAGGGAAGCAAUACAGUGAUGUGGAGCAAAACCCUAAAAACGGUCUCAGUUCGGACUGUAGGCUGAAACCCGCCUACACGAAGUUGGAAUUGCUAGUAAUCGCGGAUCAGCAUGUCGCGGUGAAUACGUUCCCGGGCCUUGCACACACCGCCCGUCA
rnacentral:rRNA from 1 species